CCAGACUCCUACGGGAGGCAGCAGUGAGGAAUAUUGGUCAAUGGGAGAGAUCCUGAACCAGCCAAGUCGCGUGAGGGAAUAAGGCCCUACGGGUCGUAAACCUCUUUUGCCGGGGGACAAAAGGCCGGACUCGUCCGGUCCUGAGGGUACCCGGAGAAAAAGCAUCGGCUAACUCCGUGCCAGCAGCCGCGGUAAUACGGAGGAUGCGAGCGUUAUCCGGAUUCAUUGGGUUUAAAGGGUGCGCAGGCGGGCCUUGAGGCGGGGGGUGAACUCGGGGGGCCAACCCCCGCCGAGCCGUCGGAACUGGGGGCCUUGAGUGCGGCGGAGGCAUGCGGAAUGCGCGGUGUAGCGGUGAAAUGCAUAGAUAUCGCGCAGAACCCCGAUUGCGAAGGCAGCGUGCCGUGCCGCCACUGACGCUGAGGCACGAAAGCGCGGGGAUCGAACAGGAUUAGAUACCCCAGUAGCC
rnacentral:rRNA from 1 species